rnacentral:rRNA from 1 species
GACGAACGCUGGCGGCGUGCCUAAUACAUGCAAGUUGAGCGCUGAAGGUUGGUACUUGUACCAACUGGAUGAGCAGCGAACGGGUGAGUAACGCGUGGGGAAUCUGCCUUUGAGCGGGGGACAACAUUUGGAAACGAAUGCUAAUACCGCAUAAAAACUUUAAACACAAGUUUUAAGUUUGAAAGAUGCAAUUGCAUCACUCAAAGAUGAUCCCGCGUUGUAUUAGCUAGUUGGUGAGGUAAAGGCUCACCAAGGCGAUGAUACAUAGCCGACCUGAGAGGGUGAUCGGCCACAUUGGGACUGAGACACGGCCCAAACGCCUACGGGAGGCAGCAGUAGGGAAUCGUCGGCAAUGGACGAAAGUCUGACCGAGCAGCGCCGAGUGAGUGAAGAAGGUUGUCGGAUCGUAAAACUCGGUUGGUAGAGAAGAACGUUGGUGAGAGUGGAAAGCUCAUCAAGUGACGGUAACUACACAGAAAGGGACGGCUAACUACGUG